rnacentral:lncRNA from 10 species
AUGUUAUCAUUAAAAGAUCCCUUUUAUUUCCAAGCUGGCACUGGGGUCCGCCAGCACUUUCUUGUUUUUUUUUUUUUUUUCUCCACAUCUUCACAUUCUUUCUGAAUAACAAGCCUAAGUCCCCAUGACCUGAUCACCUGUCAGGUGAUCACCUUGGCCAUCACCUUGGCCUUUAUUCACCUAGUGAUGCUUCUCAUAGUAAUGGAUUUGUUGUCUCCAGAUGUAUUUGAGUCACUGCAUUUUUGGAAUGACUUCAGAUGUAAAGUGUAAUUCUACCUGAGCAGAGUGACAAGGGGCCUCUCCAUCUGCACCUCCUGCCUCCUGAGUACUCUCCAGGCCAUCACCAUCAAUCCUAGCACCUCCUGGUUGGCAAGAGUUAAACAUAAAUCCACAAAUUACAUUAUCCAUGUUUUCUUCUCUUUUUGGUUCCUCAAUUUAUUUUCCAGAAGUAACAUGAUCAUGUACACCGUAGCUUAUUUCAAGUGACACAGACCAGGCAACUGACAAAUACCGACAAGUAAAUAUUGUUCAUUUUCCUAGGUAAUCUCUAUAAUCAAGGGGACUGAUUUUUAUUCUGGAAUUUUCCCCAAAUGUUUUCUUUGUAGAAAUUAUGUUGCUCUCAAUUGUGUGCAUGGUAGUACUCUUGUUUAACCAUCAGAGGUGAUCCCAUCACCUUCACAGCCCCAGCCUCUGCUCCAGUCCCUCCCCAGCGAAAAGGGCCGCCCAUGCCAUCCUGCUGCUGGUGAUUUGCUUUGUGGUCAUGGACUCAGUGGACAUCAUUAUUUUAUUAACCGUGUGGUAGGUUUUUAACUCAGUUAUCCUGGAUAUCCAAAGGUUUGUGGUCCAUCUUUAGGCUUCCGUUUGUUCUUUGGUACAGAUCAGUGUGUCCUUUGGUACAAAUCAAUUGAUAAAGGAAUAAUCAAUGUUCUGCAAAAAAUAAAUUCAAAGAGGCAUCAU